rnacentral:rRNA from 2 species
UGAGGAAUAUUGGUCAAUGGUCGAGAGACUGAACCAGCCAUGCCGCGUGAAGGUCACGGCCCUAUGGGUCUUAAACUUCUUUUGUAAGGGAGCAAUAAGUCUCACGUGUGGGAUGAUGAGAGUACCUUACGAAUAAGCAUCGGCUAACUCCGUGCCAGCAGCCGCGGUAAUACGGGGGAUGCAAGCGUUAUCCGGAUUUAUUGGGUUUAAAGGGUGCGUAGGCGGUCUGGUAAGUCAGCGGUGAAAUUUCCGAGCUCAACUUGGAACGUGCCGUUGAUACUGUCGGACUAGAAUGCGGAUGCCGUGGGAGGAAUGUGUGGUGUAGCGGUGAAAUGCAUAGAUAUCACACAGAACACCGAUUGCGAAGGCAUCUCACGAAUCCGCAAUUGACGCUGAGGCACGAAAGCGUGGGGAUCAAACAGG